CUUCAUGAGCCUUGCUCAGGUCAAUGUACUGCAUGUUAAGUUCAAUAUUUUUCCCUUCUUAAAACCCACACCAGCAAGGAAUAACCAUGCAUGCAGCUCCCUCUAAUGCAGUACAUAUCUAUGAUUCCUGAUGUGUUCCAGUGCCUUCAUGUGACCAGCAAUAGACCCUGAAUCAAAUAGAUCUCCUUAAGGACACCCAUGCUGACUGCACAUCACGGGACCUUGAGGAUCUACAGUGACAAGUACUUUCAGUGCAGCGUACCCUGCAUCCCGUCUCCUGACCCUCUGGGGCUUCCUUGGACCUCUCUGGACCGUCUCAGUCAUCCUCCCCCGAGCCACGCGGAUCCAUGAGUAACCACCAAGCGCCUUCCCAACCGACUGUGCGCUAUAAAGGGACGGUUUGUUCUUUGUGGCUUAAUACAACGACUACCAACGUGGUGCUCUAGUGUGCUAGUGGUCUAAAACGCAUACAACUUCAAGUGACCUUUGUGGAACCCUGGUUCAGAUCCGAGGACCAGUCACAAUAUAUGAAAAGGUAAAAAUGCCAUGUAUAUAACCGUGAAACAAUGGAAGUGGGUGUUUGCGGCAGAAUAAUUUGCACGAGGACGGAACUGUAGCCUCAAUAUGAAGUCAAUUGAAAAGAAAUGUCUUGAAAAGCCAAUUUAAAAUGUCAGGUUGAGCAUAUGUGGGAGCAUAAUGUUUAGAAUCAUAUCUCGGCAGCGAAUGCGGGCAGAUUCCAUUAUCCACAUGGAGACUAAC
ensembl:lncRNA